CUGUAGUCCAUGCAUCGUAGCCAUCAAGUGAUAAAUACAGCAUAUAUACCCUGUACCAAAUAGUUGUAAAGAUUCUACAUAAUUAUUUUGAUGUCAAAUGACAUGUCAGAAGGGUCUAAACAAAGUAUAAUUAUAUAUGAACAAAACCUACUUAAAAUCUAUACCCUGCAUGCAUAUGGUUCAGUGUUUAUUGUUUGUUACACAAACAUAGCUUCUUCCAUGUUUUCCGAACAUUAAUGUACAGGUAGAGAAGUACAAGUGGAUAAGACAAGGUAUGCACCAUAUCCAAAAUAAAGUACUCGUAUUUUGACAUGAUAUUAGCCCAGUUUCCAUAAAAAUUUUCCACACCAGCCUGCUUUAAAAUCAAAGCACUGAGAGUGGUCAAAAAGAAGCUUAGUAUGCCAUUGCACACUAGAAGAACUGCCAUCAGCACAGAUCUAACUAUGAAACUCCUCUUGAAUAUUCGAAAAGCCUCUAUCGAAGUUAGUAUCGUAAUGACAAACGCAGGUGUCAUUGUAAGCACUAUAAAACAAAUUACUGCAAUAAAAAGUUCUGUAACAAUAUUUUGUCCUUCUGGAGAUUCAUUUUUAUAGCAGAAUAUAUGACAAUGUACUGGAUAUCUUGCCAAGCCAUUUGUGAGAAUAUGUACAACUGUCCAGAAAAAAGCUACAAGAGCUGUUAUUGCUGUGAAGAAGCAACUAUGUUUGUAACCAAUUCGCUUCCCUUUCAUUGUGAGAAGCUGCACGACACUCAGGCAGGUCACAGCUACAAUUGAGUACACUGUGAAGAAUACUCUUGGUGCUUGCAAUGGAACUAUCGUCCAUCUUGUACAAUGACAGUAACGAAUGGACGCAGACACCGAUCAAAAGGGAUCCAAAGAGAACUAGCAGUGGCUUGUGCUUGACCUUGCUUUUGAUUAAAGCAACCAAUACUGACACAUUCAUGAAUAUUGUAGUAGGUAGAAGUACUCCGAUAAAAAGAAACAGGUUAACUGUAGUUAGUGGUAUCCAUAAAGGGAACUCAAUAGCAUCGGUUGCAUUCAUAGUAUUUGAAGAAUAUGAACUUUAUGAAGUCUCUAUAAUUAUACCGA